GCUGAUGUGGCAGACUAGUGCAAUAGAUUUAAGCUCUAUACAUAAAUACCUAUAUUUCUUCAGCA
rnacentral:tRNA from 1 species